rnacentral:lncRNA from 10 species
AAGAAGCAGGAGAAAAAGGAGAUAAGAAAACCUUCUGGAUUGGAAAGGGGCUCUGAUCCAUACCCCAAGAGAGGGUUGUUGAAUCUCUUGCAAGAAAGAAUUUGGGAAAAUUGAACAGAAGCUUGAUGACUUCCCAAGAACAAUUUGGUAGAAAAGAGUGCUGAUGAAGAAGAGAGGACAACACAAAAGAAGACACAGAAGCACCAUGGGCAAACCAUGGAACAAGAACUGGAAUGAAUAUCUAUUCCACUACCUGAACUAAAGACUGCAGACGGAGAAAGGGAAGACAGGGGUUUAACUGGCAAUUCAAAGUGAGGUGAUCAGCCUUCUGUUACAGAGUUAACUGUGUGUGAAAGAAUGUAAGAUUCAUGUAUACAU